UCUUCUGUCAAAGAAAUUAUAAGGUAACAAUUAUUGUUAACAGUUAUUUCAAUAAUUUAAGAAAAAACAAAUUGUUUGGUUACAUCAAGUGAUCCAGGUUACUUGAAGUUGACAAGUCUCCUGGUUCGGUCCAUCGCCCCUGACACGGUUUUAUAGCUGCGUGAUUGUGAGCCGUUUGAUAGGAGAGCAAUAAACCCAGCUGAAACAAACAAUUUCAAACCACGGCCUUUGCAUAUUCACAAUCAUCAGGUGGAUGCGUGUGUUUUGUUUGCAGUUAGACUAGAACCGAAAGCGGCCGUCACGCCGAUGACGUGAAUUUAACGAGGUCAUUGCAAACGCAUUUCAGGCUCAUUGUAAACAAGUUCCGAAAGGAUGAGGCAAUCAGGACUUUGGUUAUCAAUGGCGUGUAGAUGAGUAUAUCUUGACGGUUAUGAAGUCUCGUUGACACUAUGUACACAUGUUUCUAAUUUUUUUUUUAUCUGUCGAUUUAUUGAUUUUAUUUAUUGCAUUUGAUGGCGAUCUAUUUCGAUUGCAAUGUCGUAAGUUAUCAAUAUUCAAUAUUCGGUAAAAAAAAAAAGCGGAUUACCAAAACACAUUUUGUGUAUUCGUUAGUUGUGGCCAUUAGUGGGGUGCAAAAAUAGUACAUAUUUGUAGCAGUUCUUGGUGCCAUUGACGUUGAGAUAGCAAUGAUUUUGUGAGGAGAAAAUAAUAUGGCUAUGGCCUUUCAUCAUUGUCAGAAGCUUUUCGCCAUUUGUUCCGAGACGCUGACAGAAAGUGUUUUCCAAAUUCAUUACGGAAUUGCGGUGUCGAUCUACAUUUUCAGCCAUGAAAUGGUAAUGCUAUAGUUUGGAUUUCUUAAAUUUAAUUUAUCUUAGACGUUUUUGUCUGAAUUUACUGGCAAUCUGGGAUAUUAUUUCACUUGGCCAAAUAAUGUGACGACUUGGGUCGAAACUGCUGUCCAAUGUCGGCCAUUGUUAGCUGUACCUAAACGGCUGUACGUCUCAUCUCGUGCAGAAACACUUCAGACAGUCUAAUAAAGUCAGAGAUGGAGAUCCCUUUGCUCUACUGUUGUAGAAAUUGAGAACACAGCAAAGUCUGAGCUUCAAGGCAGUUGUUUCAUCAACAUGGAUUUGUUACAGCCAGCUGGUGAAAGAUGUGAUCGAGCCAAGUUGAGCUGCAGCUGCUGCAUGAAGUUUAUAAAGCUGGUGUCAUCCCAAGUGUCACUGCAGGAAAACUUCUUGAAUCGGAGUUAAUUGGAUGUUUGAGCUGUUUAUGGUGUUGCUGUUUGGUGUUCAGUGGUUUUGCAGCCCCUUUCCAAUUGAGAGAUGCUCUGAAAUGGAGUUUGGUGCAGACUUGCAGGUCAACAUCACACUUAAAUCGACUUAAAUGUGCAUUUGCCUAUGUUGGUGUUCAUGCAGUAUAUGCCGUGUUGAACGGAUGGUUAAAAUAGUUCAUGCUGCCUGAUGGUUGUCCAACAGUGACGGCCCGGACAAUCCUGAAUCCUUUAGGGUAGCCAUUCCAUCGACGCUUAAACGAGGAUGACGCGGAGGUGUUGCCCAUUGAGGGGUUUUUGUGACAAGGAGUCACUGAACGAAACGCUAAACCAAAUGAAAAAAAUAAGAAAGCCAACGAUCCUUUAUAUAUCCGAGCCGAGUCUUUUCCGUCUACAUUCGGUGUGAAGAGAAAAACCCAAAUUUCAACACAUUUUACUGCUUAGCAACGAAAACAAAGCGAGUGUCUAAACAUUGUUUUACUUGCGCAUACUUUAUUGGGGCAGAAACGCGUUGGUCAUGUAAUAGGGUGGAAUUUUUUUUCCUUUCGUUCAUGCAGCAUCAAACGACACGCGAUAGGUUCCGGCGGUAAUCAACUAUUCAAGAUGGUAGACAUGUCAAUGUAAAAGACAGGAUUUUCUUCUCCGACCGCAGGUGCAAGGAAUAUGUUUGAAACUUAGAAAAGUUUGCAGUAGAAUAUUU